GACGAACGCUGGCGGCGUGCUUAACACAUGCAAGUCGAACGGAAAGGCCCUGCUUGCAGGGUACUCGAGUGGCGAACGGGUGAGUAACACGUGGGUGAUCUGCCCUGCACUUCGGGAUAAGCCUGGGAAACUGGGUCUAAUACCGGAUAGGAUCCAUUUUUAGUGUGAUGGUUGGAAAGUUUUUUCGGUGUAGGAUGAGCUCGCGGCCUAUCAGCUUGUUGGUGGGGUAAUGGCCUACCAAGGCGGCGACGGGUAGCCGGCCUGAGAGGGUGGACGGCCACAUUGGGACUGAGAUACGGCCCAGACUCCUACGGGAGGCAGCAGUGGGGAAUAUUGCACAAUGGGCGCAAGCCUGAUGCAGCGACGCCGCGUGGGGGAUGACGGCCUUCGGGUUGUAAACUCCUUUCGCUAGGGACGAAGCUUUUUGUGACGGUACCUAGAUAAGAAGCACCGGCUAACUACGUG
rnacentral:rRNA from 1 species